rnacentral:rRNA from 1 species
AACGAACGCUGGCGGCGUGGAUAAGACAUGCAAGUCGUGCGGGACAUCGUUGGUAGCAAUAUUAGCGGUGUCUAGCGGCGAACGGGUGCGUAACACGUAGCUCACCUACCUCGAAGUGGGGGAUAGCUCGCCGAAAGGCGAAUUAAUACCGCAUGUGGUUGUAAGACUAAAGCGGGGGAUCGUAAGACCUCGCGCUUCGAGAUGGGGCUGCGGCCUAUCAGCAGUUGGUGAGGUAACGGCCCACCAAGGCGAUGACGGGUAGCUGGUCUGAGAGGACGACCAGCCACACUGGAACUGAGACACGGUCCAGACACCUACGGGUGGCAGCAGUCGAGGAUCUUGGACAAUGGGCGCGAGCC